rnacentral:tRNA from 1 species
GCCUUGAUGGUGAAAUGGUAGACACGCGAGACUCAAAAUCACGUCUCAAUGAGCGCGGAGGUUCGAGUCCUCUUCAAGGCA